GACAGAGGGUGCAAACGUUGUUCGGAAUUACUGGGCGUAAAGCGUGCGCAGGCGGUUCGUUAAGUCAGAUGUGAAAGCCCCGAGCUCAACUUGGGAACUGCAUUUGAAACUGGCGGGCUGGAGUGUGGCAGAGGGGGGUGGAAUUCCACGUGUAGCAGUGAAAUGCGUAGAGAUGUGGAGGAACACCGAUGGCGAAGGCAGCCCCCUGGGCCAACACUGACGCUCAGGCACGAAAGCGUGGGGAGCAAACAGG
rnacentral:rRNA from 1 species